AUUGAACGCUGGCGGCAGGCCUAACACAUGCAAGUCGAACGGUAACAGGAAGCAGCUUGCUGCUUUGCUGACGAGUGGCGGACGGGUGAGUAAUGUCUGGGAAACUGCCUGAUGGAGGGGGAUAACUACUGGAAACGGUAGCUAAUACCGCAUAACGUCGCAAGACCAAAGAGGGGGAACUUAGGGCCUCUUGCCAUCGGAUGUGCCCAGAUGGGAUUAGCUAGUAGGUGGGGUAACGGCUCACCUAGGCGACGAUCCCUAGCUGGUCUGAGAGGAUGACCAGCCACACUGGAACUGAGACACGGUCCAGACUCCUACGGGAGGCAGCAGUGGGGAAUAUUGCACAAUGGGCGCAAGCCUGAUGCAGCCAUGCCGCGUGUAUGAAGAAGGCCUUCGGGUUGUAAAGUACUUUCAGCGGGGAGGAAGGGAGUAAAGUUAAUACCUUUGCUCAUUGACGUUACCCGCAGAAGAAGCACCGGCUAACUCCGUG
rnacentral:rRNA from 1 species